GGGUAAUGGCCUACCAAGUCUACGAUCUUUAGCUGGUUUUAGAGGAUGAUCAGCAACACUGGGACUGAGACACGGCCCAGACUCCUACGGGAGGCAGCAGUGGGGAAUCUUAGACAAUGGGCGCAAGCCUGAUCUAGCCAUGCCGCGUGUGUGAUGAAGGCCUUAGGGUCGUAAAGCACUUUCGCCAGAGAUGAUAAUGACAGUAUCUGGUAAAGAAACCCCGGCUAACUCCGUGCCAGCAGCCGCGGUAAUACGGAGGGGGUUAGCGUUGUUCGGAAUUACUGGGCGUAAAGCGUACGUAGGCGGAUCAGAAAGUAUGGGGUGAAAUCCCAGGGCUCAACCCUGGAACUGCCUCAUAAACUCCUGGUCUUGAGUUCGAGAGAGGUGAGUGGAAUUCCAAGUGUAGAGGUGAAAUUCGUAGAUAUUUGGAGGAACACCAGUGGCGAAGGCGGCUCACUGGCUCGAUACUGACGCUGAGGUACGAAAGUGUGGGGAGCAAACAGGAUUAGAUACCCUGGUAGUCCACACCGUAAACGAUGAAUGCCAGUCGUCGGGCAGUAUACUGUUCGGUGACACACCUAACGGAUUAAGCAUUCCGCCUGGGG
rnacentral:rRNA from 1 species